CCGGAUCUCAGAUCAAGCAAGAUGACCCGCC
rnacentral:rRNA from 7 species